rnacentral:rRNA from 1 species
GCCUACGGGGGGCAGCAGUGAGGAAUAUUGGUCAAUGGGCGCGAGCCUGAACCAGCCAAGUCGCGUGAGGGAUGACGGUCCUACGGAUUGUAAACCUCUUUUGCCGGGGAGCAAGCGUGCGUUCGUGAACGCGCGUCGAGAGUACCCGGAGAGAAAGCAUCGGCUAACUCCGUGCCAGCAGCCGCGGUAAUACGGAGGAUGCGAGCGUUAUCCGGAUUUAUUGGGUUUAAAGGGUGCGUAGGCGGGAUGCCACGUCAGCGGUAAAAAUGCGGUGCUCAACGCCGUCUAGCCGUUGAAACUGGCGU